GACGAACGCUGGCGGCGUGCUUAACACAUGCAAGUCGAACGGAAAGGCCCUGCUUUUGUGGGGUGCUCGAGUAGCGAACGGGUGAGUAACACGUGAGUAACCUGCCCUUGACUUUGGGAUAACUUCAGGAAACUGGGGCUAAUACCGGAUAGGAGCUCCUGCUGCAUGGUGGGGGUUGGAAAGUUUCGGCGGUUGGGGAUGGACUCGCGGCUUAUCAGCUUGUUGGUGGGGUAGUGGCUUACCAAGGCUUUGACGGGUAGCCGGCCUGAGAGGGUGACCGGCCACAUUGGGACUGAGAUACGGCCCAGACUCCUACGGGAGGCAGCAGUGGGGAAUAUUGCACAAUGGGCGGAGGCCUGAUGCAGCAACGCCGCGUGCGGGAUGACGGCCUUCGGGUUGUAAACCGCUUUCGCCUGUGACGAAGCGUGAGUGACGGUAAUGGGUAAAGAAGCACCGGCUAACUACGUG
rnacentral:rRNA from 1 species